UGGCUGCCUCCAAGCUGGCAAAUGUCCUGGGUGAUCUGUUCAUCUCUGGGUGGGAGCUCAUGGCUUUUCACCUUGUAUGCUCAAAGACAGCAGCAGCACAGUGUCUGACAGCUUGGAGUGAGGAGCAGGAGUACUUUGGCCCAGCACGGGCAGCACUGGAAACCUCUGGUGUGCAUCCAAUAAUGCAAUGGCUGGAAGACAAGGAAGUGACAGAGUAGCUGGGAAGAUGCACUGGAUAUUGGCAAUAAUUCUGAUGCUGUGGGGUCACCAGAUCAGUGGACAAGGACAAGUUUUUCUGAGUGAGAUACCAUUGCCUCAUUGCUGGGCUCUCCUAAUGAAACUGGAAUUUCUGCAGGAACCCAGGAUAUGGCUAACAAGAGAUUCACUGUGCAAAAAGGUUUCCAGUUUCUGCGUUCCAGACACCUCUUCAAGGACUCUCUUGACAACUAUAAAAUUCUUAAAAUAAAUGUUCAUAUGCCAGUCUGAAAAGUAA